GUGUCAGCAGCCGCGGUAAUACAGAGGUCUCAAGCGUUGUUCGGAUUCAUUGGGCGUAAAGGGUGCGUAGGCUGUAGUGUAAGUUGGAUGUGAAAUCCCGGAGCUUAACUCCGGAACUGCAUUCAAUACUGCUCUACUAGAGUACUGGAGAGGAGAUUGGAAUUCACGGUGUAGCAGUGAAAUGCGUAGAUAUCGUGAGGAAGACCAGUGGCGAAGGCGAAUCUCUGGACAGUUACUGACGCUGAGGCACGAAGGCCAGGGGAGCAAACGGGAUUAGAUACCCCGGUAGUCCUGGCAGUAAACGGUGUACGUUUAGUAUGGGAGGAUUCGACCCCUUCCGUGCUGGAGCUAACGCGUUAAACGUACCGCCUGGGGAGUACGGUCGCAAGAUUAAA
rnacentral:rRNA from 1 species